CAAUUAAUUGAGCAAGCUUGUCUCAGACUGGGGGUUUUUCAGUCCACUCCUGCUUAGCAAAUAGAUGUCCCAAAGCAGUUCAAAGGGAAAGUGAAACUGACAUUCUCAAAUGUCAAAUGUUAUAUAAAAACCCAAAGAGAAGAUCAGCAGGAGUCUAGCAGACAACCUCAGCUGCAAGAUGUCUCCCAUCCCUCUAUUUAUCUUUGGUGGUGUGCUCCUCGUAUGCCUGAUGCAACAAUACCUGGUGUAUAAGUCUUCUAAGAACACUGUUAAAGUCUUCUGCCAUAAAGCCAAUGAUGUACAUAUAUACCAGAUCCCGGUCGUCAUAACAAACAUACUGGAAACCUCAAGUGGAAAAAGCCACCCACUGGGUCAUUCGGGAGAGAUCCAGCCUUUAAAGAAGCAAAACUAGAGGCCAAAAUAAGUCCUCCUCCUUCUAGAUGUGCAUAAUCCCCUUCUUCCUUCCCUAGAAGACUGAGGGAGCCAUCUUUCACAGCGAGUUUAUUCAGUGAUACAGGUGGAGCUCAGAAGUAGACACUUGCCUUGCCUCUAUUAGGACUUGAUUGGACCCAAAUACCACAAAAUUCUUUCUCUCCGCUGAGAAAAUGGAAAUUUAAGAUGGGAGCCAAGCACUGUGUGGUGUCAACAUCCAUGAGCAUGGUUUAAUAUACAUACCAUGUGCUUGUUUUUCUGCUUGUGAACUUGUGAGAUAGAAAAACUCCCAAGUCAUCCACUUUUACUUGUUAUCAUUCAGUCACAUAAUAAAUUUGGAUUGUGCA
rnacentral:lncRNA from 1 species